rnacentral:lncRNA from 1 species
AUGUCAAGCUCAACUCCAAACUGGCAAUCCUCUGAACUGGCUAUUAGUGCAUCAGAAAAGUACAAGCAGCGUGAAGAGGAGCGCAGGAUCUUGCCACGUACACCAGAUUCCGUUGCCAAAUUUUCAGAAGAGCCUUUCCAUAGUGAAAUAAUUGGAACAUGUGGAUGGUGGUGAGUGUAAGCACUGAGAAAUUGCCUUGAAGAAGAGAAUUUCUCCAAAAUUACCUUGAUUUUUAAAAUAAGUAUUUGUUGCAUUAAUUAAAACUCAUGGGGUAUUUACUUUCUAUAACUACCCUCAUUAAAGAGAAUUUGCUAUAUUUUUUUCUUUUUGUUUAAUAACUCAUUUUCCCACAUCUUUUGCACAGGCCAUGACAAUUACAUCCCACAGAACUGCAUUAAGGGAUAUAACCAGGGUUCUGGUUUUGAAGACUGCUCAGAAGAAAAGUUAACAGCACUUGUAUUCUUGUGAUAUUAAUGUAUAAUGAGCGAUGAAGUCAUGCUGUGGUAACCAUUUCCAGGACAAAACCCAAGUGGCUCCAUUCACAAGUCAGAGCUUUCAUGUACUGCAACUUUGACAGAGUUACCUUUGUUCUUGUACCAGCCUGAAUUAGAGUUAUUGACCCAGACAGCAUUGUGAAGAGUCAGACUUUUAGUGCCUAUACAAAGCUUGUCAUAAACAUAAAUAAUUUUAAGGGACUAGUAGUAAUGCAUUGGGAGAAAGCUUCAAUGUUUCUUGUCUAUAUCACAGAGAAAGCCUUAUGAAGUUUCAACAGGGGACAAUUAUUUUUUCCCCUCUCAUAAAACAAAAGAGCAAACUACAAGUAGUUCCACUUCAUGGAAGAAAACUUUUAGACUGAAUUAUUUUUGAAAUCUCAUUGCCCAUAAACAAACCAAUUAUGCUAGUAUUUUCAAUCAACUCUUUAGCUACCAUCCUUAAAAACUAGGACUGCGGAACACCACUCAUUGAGUCAAUAUUACAGCCAGAACCAAAUCAGUUGGUGGAGUUAUAGUAUUAGAAAAGCAGUUAAUAAGACUACUAGGCAGAAAAACACUGGAAGGAUUCAAGCAGAACAGAAACAGUCCCUACAAACAUGCUAGACCAACUGAGAGCACAUCCUGCUCACCAGCCUGAGAUAGUAGGCAAAUCUUUUCAUGCUUACUGAAGAUUCACCUUA